UACAGAGGUCUCAAGCGUUGUUCGGAUUCAUUGGGCGUAAAGGGUGCGUAGGCGGCGCGGUAAGUCGGGUGUGAAAUCUCGGGGCUUAACUCCGAAACUGCAUUCGAUACUGCCGUGCUUGAGGACUGGAGAGGAGACUGGAAUUUACGGUGUAGCGGUGAAAUGCGUAGAUAUCGUAAGGAAGACCAGUGGCGAAGGCGGGUCUCUGGACAGUUCCUGACGCUGGAGGCACGAAGGCCAGGGGAGCAAACGGGG
rnacentral:rRNA from 1 species